ACUACGGGUGGCUGCAGUGAGGAAUAUUGGUCAAUGGGCGCGAGCCUGAACCAGCAAAGUAGCGUGAAGGAUGACUGCCCUACGGGUUGUAAACUUCUUUUAUAAAGGAAUAAAGUGAGGCACGUGUGCCUUUUUGUAUGUACUUUAUGAAUAAGGAUCGGCUAACUCCGUGCCAGCAGCCGCGGUAAGACGGAGGAUCCGAGCGUUAUCCGGAUUUAUUGGGGUUAAAGGGAGCGUAGAUGGGUUGUUAAGUCAGUUGUGAAAGUUUGCGGCGCAACCGUAAAAUUGCAAUUGAUACUGGCAGCCUUGAGUACAGUUGAGGGAGGCGGAAUUCGUGGUGUAGCGGUGAAAUGCUUAGAUAUCACGAAGAACUCCGAUUGCGAAGGCAGCCUACUAAACUGCCACUGACAUUGAUGCUCGAAAGUGUGGGUAUCAAACAGGAUUAGAUACCCCUGUAGUC
rnacentral:rRNA from 1 species